GUGUGGUUUUAAUAUGAUUUGACUCUUUGCAGGCUGUCAGGCUGUCUAGUCACAGAGGAAGGCUGUGCUUCUCUGGUCUCAGCUCUGAGGUCAAACCCCUCACACCUGAGAGAGCUGGACCUGAGCUACAAUCACCCAGGAGACUCAGGAGUCAGACUGCUCUCUGCUGGACUGGAGGAUCCACACUGCAGACUGGAGAAACUCAAUGUGGAACAUGGUGGAGAGAACAGAAUGAAACCUGGACUUAGAAAAUAUGUCUGUGAUCUCACACUGGACCCAAACACAGUAAACAGACACCUCUCUCUGUCUGAGGAGAACAGAAAGGUGACAUGGAGGACAGAGGAGCAGCCGUAUCCUGAUCACCCAGAGAGAUUUGAGGACUGUGGACAGGUGCUGUGUAGAGAGGGUCUGACUGGGCGCUGUUACUGGGAGGUAGAGUGGAGUGGGAGGGGUGCUGGUAUAGGAGUGACAUAUAAAGGAAUCAGCAGGAGAGGAGGGGCUAUGACUGUUGUCUUGGAUACAAUGACAAGUCCUGGAGUCUGUUCUGCUCUGACAACAGUUACACUGCCUGGCACAAUAAUAAUCCCACUACCAUAGACGUCCCCUCCUCCAGCUCCCACAGAGUAGGAGUGUAUCUGGACUGGCCAGCCGGCACUCUGUCCUUCUAUAGAGCCUCCUCUGACACACUGACCCACCUGAUCACAUUCACCUCCACAUUCACUGAGCCCCUCUAUCCAGGGAUUU